UGUAGUGGGGGAUAACGUAGGGAAAGUUUCGCUAAUACCGCAUACGACCUACGGGUGAAAGCAGGGGAUCUUAGGACCUUGCGCGAUUGAAUGAGCCGAUGUCGGAUUAGCUAGUUGGCGGGGUAAAGGCUCACCAAGGCGACGAUCCGUAGCUGGUCUGAGAGGAUGAUCAGCCACACUGGAACUGAGACACGGUCCAGACUCCUACGGGAGGCAGCAGUGGGGAAUAUUGGACAAUGGGCGCAAGCCUGAUCCAGCCAUACCGCGUGGGUGAAGAAGGCCUUCGGGUUGUAAAGCCCUUUUGUCGGGAAAGAAAUCUAGCUGGUUAAUACCCGGUGGGGAUGACGGUACCCAAAGAAUAAGCACCGGCUAACUUCGUGCCAGCAGCCGCGGUAAUACGAAGGGUAAAAACGUUAACCGGAAUUACUGGGCGUAAAGCGUGCGCAGGUGGUCCUUUAAGUCCGAUGUGAAACCCCUGGCCUCAACCUGGGAACUGCAGUGGAUACAGCCCGACUAAAGGGUGCCAAAGGAUAGCGAAAUUCCUGGGGUACCAGUGAAAUGCGUAAAGAUCAGGAGGAACAUCCAUGGCGAAGGCAGCCUCCUGGACCAACACUGACACUGAUGCACGAAAGACGUCGGGAGCAAACAGGAUUAGAUACCCUGGUAGUCCACGCCCUAAACGAUGCCAA
rnacentral:rRNA from 1 species